UUGGAAUCACUGGUAUAUCUACAGAUGAAGAUAACUUCUAUUGGCGUGGUCAGCAAUGAAACCAUCAUUGAAGGUGUUAAAGAGUUUUUCAGAGAACAGCUUCUGAAUGCAACAGCCUACACGGUCACCGUGACAAACAUUCAGAGGGUUACAGUUGCUCCAUAGAAGCUGCUUGUGGAUAUAUAAAGUUGCCUCAGCCAUUUGAUUUCUUGACAGUUUGAGAACAACCCAUCAAUUUCCCCAAAUCAUAAGAAGUAUCUAGAAUGCAUUUAAGGGGCAAGAAAGUUGUUUUUUUAUUAAAAACGGAGGUUUAGAUUUUAGGCUCAGUGCCCUUUUACAUAUCUUUAUCAUCAUUGUUAAAAACAACCCUCUACUAGGCAACAUUAAGACACAUUUCACUGUAUAAUCUCCAAACAAUAUUUUUAUUAUCACACUGUUGGCUUUAAUUCCCAGAAAUAUGAAUAGUGGAGAUGUCCAUUUGGCUUAAGUAUCAAAUUACUUGCACACUACAAUGGAAAGACUGGCAAUGAUAAUCUUGGUGAGUGCCUCAUACCAAGUGUAUGACAGUUGUACCUCGAUUCAGGGAAAUUAAUGUGGUAUAACUGACUGAAUAAAUGAGACAUAUCUAUCUGAA